CAGUCGCCGCGGGAAUACGAAGGGUGCAAGCGUUACUCGGAAUUACUGGGCGUAAAGCGUGCGUAGGUGGUGGUUUAAGUCCGUUGUGAAAGCCCUGGGCUCAACCUGGGAAUUGCAGUGGAUACUGGGUCACUAGAGUGUGGUAGAGGAUAGUGGAAUUUCCGGUGUAGCAGUAAAAUGCGUAGAGAUCGGAAGGAACAUCUGUGGCGAAGGCGACUAUCUGGGCCAACACUGACACUGAGGCACGAAAGCGUGGGGAGCAAACAGGAUUAGAUACCCGCGUAGUCCCUGUCUCUUAUAC
rnacentral:rRNA from 1 species